CCCAAACCUGUUUCUAUCUUUCCCUAGUGGCUGAUUUAUUUGUUAAUUCAUAUCUGAUUUACAUAUUUACUUUUAUAUUUUCAUUUAUAUUAUUCAAUUUUUUUAACUUCUACUUUACAAUUUAUUUUGAAUCAUCUUGUUUUGUUUCUUGGCAGGAGCAGGGCUUCUCUACCCCCGGCCGAGGCUUCUUCCUCAUAUGGACAGAGUGGGAGAGACCCCACUGCCCCAGAGCUUCCUCUAGGACCACGUCACCUCCCGUAUGGUGCUGGGGCUCCAGCCUGGGUCACGUGCUUGACAAGACGUCUGCCCAGACUGCUGGAUUUUACUUACAGAGGCUCUCAGGGGGGGCUCAGCGGCUCACAAAGCACAGGUCUGAACCCGUCUCAUCCAGCCUGGAACCAGCAGGGAGAGGCAUCCCCAUCCCAGACUCUUCCCUCUGAGAGCGGCAGUGGACACAGAAGCUCUGGCUCCCUGGCUGAGCAAACACCUUCCAGGGCUUUCUGCCAAGGCCACUAACAGUUGAGGCCUUGGGAAACCAGGAAGGCCAGAGACACAAAGAGCAGCCACGACUUCUAACUUGCCUUCAGGACACCUGGCAGGUGGCCUCUACUCUUUCCAAAGACAAAAGGCUUACUGUCUGCACAGCAAAUGCGAUACUUGGAGAUAAGGCAGUCACUUAGUGACCAUGAAGUGAAAAGCAUUGCAGUGACCACAAAAGGGACUUCACAGUGAGCUCCAGAUCCCCAAGGAGCUGGUGGAAUGAACCCAGACAAGAUGAAAACACCACCAAAAUCAAUAAAGUAAAACAGUCACGUAGCUGUGUAGUCUACCGACCGGGAAGUUUCAAAAGCUGCUUGGGAACAAUGAGAACUGGCAGGACCUGUCUGCUCAGCUGGGCUGCGCCAGGGGAGGCGGACCAGGCGAGCACCUCGCUCAGAGGCUGCUGCGGGAGAGGACACACAGGGAGCCUUCAAGGCCAGCCCUAUGUCGUCACGGAGACCAGUGCCCCCUCAAGGGGAGGGCAAUGCCAGCGCCCUAGCAGGGAGCCCCACAUGUGCCAGUUUGCUGCCUGUCCAUGGGAAACCUUGCUCCCUGUCUCCAUGAUUAUAUUUGGUGACAAGUGACAGCCACAAUGUGCCAUGGCGUGUGGUUAUAAAUUAGGCUUUGGGGAAUCAGGCGG